GCUGGAGACAUACAAUAAAUUGCAAGAGAAUACAUUUCUGAGACUCUCACUUUGGCAGUAUUACAGUUUUAGCCAUACCAGGGAGGUGUUCAGACCAGCCAGGGGUCUACUUACAAACACGGUUUAUUUAUUGUCCUUCCUCUCCUUUACCUGUGAGACUGGAGUUAGAGAUGGGAGAACCUCCAGGCGGUCAACAGGUCAGGCCAGACGGAGAACUGCUCUGUUUCCACAAUCAUUCUGUCUAUUCUCAACCCAGAUGGAAGGUCACAAGUUGUUGGAAAUACUGAGAAACUGAUUUGUGUCUAUAUUGAUCCAAACCUCACAUCAUUUCCCCAGCACCCCAGGUCACUUCCAACCAACGAGCACAAAAUUUCUUUGAAAUGAGGCACGUCAAAUGCUGAACUUACAUGUGGACAUACCAUCUGCUCAAUUCCAGGUUUUUCUAUCUGUUAAUAAUUGUUUUGGUUAUUAUAUCUGACUGGUUCACUGAGACAAAUCUUGCUUCCUUGCUUCUUGAAGAUUAAGACAAUAUCAGAGAAAAAAAUUUAGAUUAGUUAAUAUUUUGAUUGGGUAUUUUUUUAGGUUACAAGACAUUUUGCUUUGAAUUUCUAGACUUCCACACAUUUUCUUUCAGUGAACAAUAAAAGUUCUAUUUGAAUGGCAUAUGAGCCCUAUGUAGAUAAACAAUUUUGGUUUUCUCUCCGUGUGUCAAGUCUCUUCUGUGUUGGGCAAACACAUCAUGACACGAUGCUGAAGUGUUUUAGAGAUGUGCACAUUCCCAUUUCUCCUUUGUUCCUCCAAGGAAACCAAAUAAUCCCACUUGUAGUAUCCUAAAUGGUUUUUCAAAGCUUGUCUUUCAGAGACACACAGAUUAUGUAUAUAGUUCUGAUGAGGGGUGAGAAGCCCUUAUAAUUGUCUGUAGCCUUGGCCUAAAGUAACUUUGUGUCCUUUUCUAAGUCAUUUAGGAUUUCAGGGUUUGAGGGCCCUCAUUGUUAAACAGAAGGGGGUAGGAUUAA
rnacentral:lncRNA from 1 species